UACACGCAUCAUUCAAAUUUCUGCCCUAUCAACUUUCGAUGGUAGGAUAGUGGCCUACUAUGGUGGUGACGGGUGACGGAGAUUGGAGA